rnacentral:rRNA from 1 species
UCAAAACUUUCAACAACGGAUCUCUUGGUUCUGGCAUCGAUGAAGAACGCAGCGAAAUGCGAUAAGUAAUGUGAAUUGCAGAAUUCAGUGAAUCAUCGAAUCUUUGAACGCACAUUGCGCCCGCCAGUAUUCUGGCGGGCAUGCCUGUUCGAGCGUCAUUU